AGCGAACGCUGGCGGCAGGCUUAACACAUGCAAGUCGAGCGGGCAUCUUCGGAUGUCAGCGGCAGACGGGUGAGUAACACGUGGGAACGUACCCUUCGGUUCGGAACAACUCUGGGAAACUGGAGCUAAUACCGGAUACGCCCUUAUGGGGAAAGGUUUACUGCCGAAGGAUCGGCCCGCGUCUGAUUAGCUAGUUGGUGGGGUAACGGCCUACCAAGGCGACGAUCAGUAGCUGGUCUGAGAGGAUGAUCAGCCACACUGGGACUGAGACACGGCCCAGACUCCUACGGGAGGCAGCAGUGGGGAAUAUUGGACAAUGGGCGCAAGCCUGAUCCAGCCAUGCCGCGGGAGUGAUGAAGGCCUUAGGGUUGUAAAGCUCUUUUGUCCGGGACGAUAAUGACGGUACCGGAAGAAUAAGCCCCGGCUAACUUCGU
rnacentral:rRNA from 1 species